rnacentral:rRNA from 1 species
GUGCCAGCCGCCGCGGUAAUACAGAGGGUGCAAGCGUUAAUCGGAUUUACUGGGCGUAAAGCGUGUGUAGGUGGUCAGCUAAGUCGGUUGUGAAAUCCCUGGGCUCAACCUGGGAAUUGCAGUCGAUACUGGCAGACUCGAGUUCGGUAGAGGGCGACGGAAUUCCCGGUGUAGCGGUGAAAUGCGUAGAUAUCGGGAGGAACAUCGAUGGCGAAGGCAAUCGCCUGGGCCUGAACUGACACUGAGACACGAAAGCGUGGGUAGCAAACAGGAUUAGAAACCCUGGUAGUCC